rnacentral:rRNA from 1 species
GGCAAAGUUAAUAAGGGCGCACGGUGGAUGCCUUGGCAUUAAGAGCCGAUGAAGGACGUGACUAACGACGAUAUUCUAGGGGGAGCAGUAAGUACGCAUUGAUCCCUAGGUCUCCGAAUGGGGAAACCCACUAUGUUAUGCAUAGUAUCCGUAAGUGAAUACAUAGCUUACGCGAAGGUAACGCAGAGAACUGAAACAUCUAAGUACCUGCAGGAAGAGAAAGUAAAAACGAUUUCCUAAGUAGCGGCGAGCGAACGGGAAACAGGCCAAACCAAGAAGCUUGCUUCUUGGGGUUGUAGGACUGCAACGUGGACUUAAAGUCUAUAGAAGAAUUACCUGGGAAGGUAAGCCAAAGAGAGUAAUAGCCUCGUAUUUGAAAUAGACUUUAUACCUAGCAGUAUCCUGAGUAGGGCUGGACACGCGAAAUCCAGUUUGAAUCCGGGAGGACCAUCUCCCAAGCCUAAAUACUCCUUAAUGACCGAUAGUGAACCAGUACCGUGAGGGAAAGGUGAAAAGAACCCCGGGAGGGGAGUGAAAUAGCACCUGAAACCGUGUGCCUACAAGAAGUUCGAGCCCGUCAAUGGGUGAGAGCGUGCCUUUUGUAGAAUGAACCGGCGAGUUACGUUAUGAUGCGAGGUUAAGCUGAAGAGGCGGAGCCGUAGCGAAAGCGAGUCUGAAUAGGGCGCUUUAGUAUCAUGAUGUAGACCCGAAACCUAGUGACCUAUCCAUGAGCAGGUUGAAGGUGCGGUAAGACGCACUGGAGGACCGAACCAGGACACGUUGAAAAGUGUUUGGAUGACUUGUGGAUAGCGGAGAAAUUCCAAACGAACUGGGAGAUAGCUGGUUCUCUCCGAAAUAGCUUUAGGGCUAGCGUCGCAAUUUAAGUGUAUUGGAGGUAGAGCACUGUUUGGAUGAGGGGCCCAUCUCGGGUUACCAAUUUCAGAUAAACUCCGAAUGCUAAUACACAUGUGCGGCAGUCAGACUGCGAGUGCUAAGAUCCGUAGUCGAAAGGGAAACAGCCCAGACCACCAGCUAAGGUCCCAAAAUAUAUGUUAAGUGGAAAAGGAUGUGGGGUUGCACAGACAACUAGGAUGUUAGCUCAGAAGCAGCUAUCAUUCAAAGAGUGCGUAAUAGCUCACUAGUCGAGUGACCCUGCGCCGAAAAUGUACCGGGGCUAAACAUAUUACCGAAGCUGUGGAUUUAAUAUUAAUUAAAUGGUAGGAGAGCGUUGUAAUCAGCGAUGAAGGUAUACCGUGAGGGGUGCUGGAGCGAUUACAAGUGAGAAUGCCGGUAUGAGUAGCGCAAGAUAAGUGAGAAUCUUAUCCACCGUAAGACUAAGGUUUCCAGGGGAAGGCUCGUCCGCCCUGGGUUAGUCGGGACCUAAGGCGAGGCCGAAAGGCGUAGUCGAUGGACAACAGGUUGAUAUUCCUGUACUAGUAUUGUUAGUGAUGGAGGGACGCAGUAGGCUAAAGGGAGCCAGUUAAUGGAUUCUGGUCUAAGCAGUGAGGUGUGGAAUGUGUCAAAUGCAUUUUCCUUUAACAUUGAGCUGUGAUGGGGAAGCAACUACGGUUGCGAAGCCCUUGAUGUCACACUGCCAAGAAAAUCUUCUAGCGUUUAAUUCAAUACUACCCGUACCGCAAACCGACACAGGUAGUCGAGGCGAGUAGCCUCAGGUGAUCGAGAGAACUCUCGUUAAGGAACUCGGCAAAAUGACCCCGUAACUUCGGGAGAAGGGGUGCUGUAGAAAUACAGCCGCAGUGAAAAGAUCCAAGCAACUGUUUAUCAAAAACACAGCUCUCUGCUAAACCGCAAGGUGAUGUAUAGGGGGUGACGCCUGCCCGGUGCUGGAAGGUUAAGAGGAGGGGUUAGCUUAGGCGAAGCUCUGAAUUGAAGCCCCAGUAAACGGCGGCCGUAACUAUAACGGUCCUAAGGUAGCGAAAUUCCUUGUCGGGUAAGUUCCGACCCGCACGAAAGGCGUAAUGAUUUGGAUACUGUCUCAACGAGAGACUCGGUGAAAUUUUAGUACCUGUGAAGAUGCAGGUUACCCGCGACAGGACGGAAAGACCCCAUGGAGCUUUACUGCAGAUUGAUAUUGAGUACCUGUGAAGCAUGUACAGGAUAGGUAGGAGACUUUGACCUUGGGACGCUAGUUUCAAGUGAGUCGCUGUUGGGAUACUACCCUUGCUUCAUGGUUGCUCUAACCCACACGCAUAAUCGGCGUGGGAGACAGUGUCUGUCGGGCAGUUUGACUGGGGCGGUCGCCUCCUAAAGAGUAACGGAGGCGCCCAAAGGUUCCCUCAACAUGGUUGGAAAUCAUGUGUAGAGUGUAAAGGUAUAAGGGAGCUUGACUGCGAGAGCUACAACUCGAGCAGGUAGGAAACUAGGGCUUAGUGAUCCGGUGGUACCGCAUGGAAGGGCCAUCGCUCAACGGAUAAAAGCUACCCUGGGGAUAACAGGCUUAUCUCCCCCAAGAGUUCACAUCGACGGGGAGGUUUGGCACCUCGAUGUCGGCUCGUCGCAUCCUGGGGCUGUAGUCGGUCCCAAGGGUUGGGCUGUUCGCCCAUUAAAGCGGCACGCGAGCUGGGUUCAGAACGUCGUGAGACAGUUCGGUCCCUAUCCGUCGCGGGCGUAGGAAAUUUGAGAGGAUCUGCCCUUAGUACGAGAGGACCGGGGUGGACUUACCGCUGGUGUACCAGUUGUUCCGCCAGGAGCACCGCUGGGUAGCUAUGUAGGGAAGGGAUAAGCGCUGAAAGCAUCUAAGUGCGAAGCCCACCUCAAGAUGAGAUUUCCCAUUCUUUAUGAAUUAAGAGCCCUGAGAGAUGAUCAGGUUGAUAGGCUGGAAGUGGAAGUCCUGCGAGGGAUGGAGCGGACCAGUACUAAUAGCUCGAGGACUUUACCAA